CGAUUUCGCCCUUAGAGUUUGAUCCUGGCUCAGGACGAACGCUGUCGGCGCGCCUAACACAUGCAAGUCGAACGAGCGAGAGAGAGCUUGCUUUCUCAAGCGAGUGGCGAACGGGUGAGUAACGCGUGAGGAACCUGCCUCAAAGAGGGGGACAACAGUUGGAAACGACUGCUAAUACCGCAUAAGCCCACAGGUCGGCAUCGACCAGAGGGAAAAGGAGCAAUCCGCUUUGAGAUGGCCUCGCGUCCGAUUAGCUAGUUGGUGAGGUAAUGGCCCACCAAGGCAACGAUCGGUAGCCGGACUGAGAGGUUGAACGGCCACAUUGGGACUGAGACACGGCCCAGACUCCUACGGGAGGCAGCAGUGGGGAAUAUUGCACAAUGGGGGAAACCUUGAUGCAGCGACGCCGCGUGGAGGAAGAAGGUCUUCGGAUUGUAAACUCCUGUUGUUGAGGAAGAUAAUGACGGUACUCAACAAGGAAGUGACGGCUAACUACGUGCCAGCAGCCGCGGUAAAACGUAGGUCACAAGCGUUGUCCGGAAUUACUGGGUGUAAAGGGAGCGCAGGCGGGAAGACAAGUUGGAAGUGAAAUCUAUGGGCUCAACCCAUAAACUGCUUUCAAAACUGUUUUUCUUGAGUAGUGCAGAGGUAGGCGGAAUUCCCGGUGUAGCGGUGGAAUGCGUAGAUAUCGGGAGGAACACCAGUGGCGAAGGCGGCCUACUGGGCACCAACUGACGCUGAGGCUCGAAAGUGUGGGUAGCAAACAGGAUUAGAUACCCUGGUAGUCCACACCGUAAACGAUGAUUACUAGGUGUUGGAGGAUUGACCCCUUCAGUGCCGCAGUUAACACAAUAAGUAAUCCACCUGGGGAGUACGACCGCAAGGUUGAAACUCAAAGGAAUUGACGGGGGCCCGCACAAGCAGUGGAGUAUGUGGAUUAAUUCGAAGCAACGCGAAGAACCUUACCAGGUCUUGACAUCGUAUGCAUAGCUCAGAGAUGAGUGAAAUCUCUUCGGAGACAUAUAGACAGGUGGUGCAUGGUUGUCGUCAGCUCGUGUCGUGAGAUGUUGGGUUAAGUCCCGCAACGAGCGCAACCCUUACUGUUAGUUGCUACGCAAGAGCACUCUAGCAGGACUGCCGUUGACAAAACGGAGGAAGGUGGGGAUGACGUCAAAUCAUCAUGCCCCUUAUGACCUGGGCCUCACACGUACUACAAUGGCUGUUAACAGAGGGAUGCAAAGCCGCGAGGUGGAGCGAACCCCUAAAAGCAGUCUUAGUUCGGAUUGUAGGCUGCAACCCGCCUACAUGAAGUCGGAAUUGCUAGUAAUCGCAGAUCAGCAUGCUGCGGUGAAUACGUUCCCGGGCCUUGCACACACCGCCCGUCA
rnacentral:rRNA from 1 species